rnacentral:rRNA from 1 species
CAACUUUGUAAAAGUCGUAACAAGGUUUCCGUAGGUGAACCUGCGGA